AAACAUGUUGCUGGAACUUUCCCAAUUGAUCUGAUUUUAUUUGCCUUCUCUCUCACCUUAAGCUCCUCGUCUCUUUGAUUUUUCUCUGCCUGAGUUCUUGCUCCUCCGGCAAUCUGAUCAACCCUUUCCAUUUCACUGCGAUUGUUUGGUGGAUGGAAUAUCAGGUUUUGGAGCUGAACUUCCCGGUCCUGUACCGGCAUUGCUGCUACGUUGCUCUGCCAAAGUUGGAGUCCUUUUGAUAGAUGGGGCAGGACCAGCAAGCUUUUCGGGCUUCUUUGCAUUUGUGUCAUCACUUAUUGGUGCCCUCUUGUCUGAGAGGUACCAGGGCCCUCGCUCGCCUUUUUUUGAUCCCGGAUGCUUGAUUCUUCAAGUGAUGUGAUGGCAAAUGCAGCUGCUGCAACUGCUGUUGGGAAAUCAUCAUCAUCGCCAAAAUCAUCACUCUGACUCAUUAGCGCUGAAAAUUGUCUCCGGAACCAGUUUUGCGAUUUUUUCUUCUCUGCAAAAUCAUCAGGAACGAUUCGUUGCAUAUUUGAAGGAGAAGUGUUGGAAGACGGAAAAUUCGUUGAGAUUGGUGAAAGGGUGUGGAUAGGGUAGGAGGGUGAAGCAAAGGUUUCUUCACUCGAAAGUUUAUAGAAAGUGGAGUAGAAUCUCUUUCUUGUGCUGAGCUUUUCUGCUGUUUGAAAUAUGGAUACAACUCUUUUCCUUCGAGAAUCUGUUAUGUUUUCGGUGAAGAACACUAGCCCGUGAUGUCCGGAGUAAAAAGAGUUCAUGUUUUUUUCUUUGGAUGAGAUGCUUUUUGUUGGAUCGCAUAGGUUGGUCAACUUCUUCAAUCUUGUUCACCUGUACUAUCUCUAUUUCUGUCUACCAACUUUUUGAUUUAAAUAUUCAACCAAAAAAAAAAACUUUUCGAUUUAAAUUUUUAAUAUUAAUAAUUAAUCUAUCAAUCUUGUUCACUUGCACUACCUCUAUUUGUGACGACUUUUCAAUUUAACUUUUUAAUAUUAAUAAUUAGUCACAUAUUUAUUUUGUGUUAAUAUUCUUAUCUAUGCAUAAAUAUUACAUACACACAAAUAGAUAGAGUGAACAAAAAAUAGUUGGAAUUGUAGAAAUGGUAGAAAUCGAACUGUCACUUUAAUUCGGUUUUGAUUUCGGUUCCAAAAUAAGAAACCUUUGUUUACGGUUUUGGUUUUGGUUUUGGUUUCGAUUUCAAAUCCAUUAAACCAAACCGAGCCGUAAACUAAAGAUACACACACAUAUAUAUGUUAAGAUAAUAAUAAACAAUAAUAUAACUUAUGUAGAUAAAACUUCAGACAAAGUACACAAUAAUAUAUUAUUUGCCCUAUUUGUUGAAGAAAGAAACUUAUAUUUACUUUGAUAAGAUAAAUUUAUGUGGUUUGAAGUGAGUUAUUGAGUCUUUUUUUGAAGGUAAAAAAUAAAAGUAGAAAAAGCAACUAUGGUUCAGAAUCGAACCAAACCGGUCUUUAUGAUUCAGUUUGGUUCGAUUCCAAAGUUCAACAUUUCGAUUUUGGUUCUAAAUUUUUAACAACUAUUGAAAUUAAUUUGGUUAUAACUAUAUUGAAUCAAACCGUGUGUACCUCACAAAUAGAUAUGUUAUAUAAAUUCAAGAUACGUUAUUGCCUCUAUAAUCUCCAUUAACUGGACUCUUGUACUCAUUUCUAAUUUAUACAAUUAUUAUAUUGAAUUCCCGAAAAAAGAA